rnacentral:rRNA from 1 species
AGUGAACGCUGGCGGUAGGCCUAACACAUGCAAGUCGAACGGCAGCACAGUAAGAGCUUGCUCUUACGGGUGGCGAGUGGCGGACGGGUGAGGAAUACAUCGGAAUCUACUUUUUCGUGGGGGAUAACGUAGGGAAACUUACGCUAAUACCGCAUACGACCUACGGGUGAAAGCAGGGGAUCUUCGGACCUUGCGCGAUUGAAUGAGCCGAUGUCGGAUUAGCUAGUUGGCGGGGUAAAGGCCCACCAAGGCGACGAUCCGUAGCUGGUCUGAGAGGAUGAUCAGCCACACUGGAACUGAGACACGGUCCAGACCCCUACGGGAGGCAGCAGUGGGGAAUAUUCGACAAUGGGCGCAAGCCUGAUCCAGCCAUACCGCGUGGGUGAAGAAGGCCUUCGGGUUGUAAAGCCCUUUUGUUGGGAAAGAAAAGCAGCAGGUUAAUACCCCGCUGUUCUGACGGUACCCAAAGAAUAAGCACCGGCUAACUUCGUG